rnacentral:ncRNA from 1 species
GAUUUGAGGGCGGAACGGGCAGCCGCCACCCGCUGCAUUUGGCAGUUGUUUGGAGAUGUGGGAAACGUCACCCCACCAAUU